AUCUAGCUGAAGAGUCCCAAACGGGACAAAACGCUUGUCGUUGAU
rfam:Schistosoma haematobium scaffold1455_10, whole genome shotgun sequence.